rnacentral:sRNA from 1 species
UAAUAGCCCCGAUAGAAAUGAAAAUCCUUGUGAGGGCUAGCGUUUAGCCCUCACAAGGAUUGUAGUGUAUAGCGGGAGAUAAC